CUUUUCUCUAUGGUGAAUUUUGUGGUGAAAUUUGCACCAAAAUGCAUGAAAUGGCAUCUAAAAAUUCAAACUUUUCUGGGGAGCAUGCCCCCAGAGGCCCUCAGGGACAA